GAGUUUUCUUCACUCCGAAAAUCUGCCAACCUUCCAAUUUCUUGCAGAAACCUUGAAUUCAGUUGUAUUUGUAGAUAACUCAUAGAUAUGGCUAUGUCUCCCACUGCAGCCCUUACUGCUCAAUUUCCCUCUUCGUCUUCAUUCUUCUCGUGCUAUUUACUCCCCCACGGAUCCGAUUUUCUCCGUUUUUGAAGAAUUUACUUCAAUUAGGGUUCAUAGUUCUAGUCACUUGACGGAGCCCCGAUAAAUUUGGUCUCUUUUUUGUGUGUGGCUACUGUUUCUGAGCAGCUGAACGAUAUGUUGAUGAAGUUUUGUUCAAGCAUGAAACUUUGGUGCUCAAUGUAUUCAUCAUAUGUGUGUUUUUUCCUGAUUGUUUUGUGUUAUAUUGUGUUAAAAUGAUAUUUGAUGGAGCUAUAGUCGUUAGCUAAUGAAUGAUCCGAGGUGAACUCAAGCGUUAUGAAGCUAGUGCGAUAUUGCAUUAUAGACAUGGAUGCCGGCUGAGACGCCAUUGAAAGCCGUAUGCUAAAUAAAUUAGAUGUGUUUGACUCUGUAAUACUACUGCCAUAACUUUAGUAUUCUAAUUACGGAGUAGUCUAUCACAGAUGUUUGUAUAAGUUCUCAAUGAAUAUUGAAGACCUAAUAAUGAAUGUUGUAAUUAUGAUAGUUUCCAUUGACGCAUUUGAAUCGUGAUACUUAUGCUAGUUGAUUUUAUUUUAUAAUCAUCGAUGUUCUUUUCCCUGUCAUAAUUCAUUAGCGUCUGGGAUUUUAUGGCUCUUACUUCUUAGUGCUUUAUCAGUAACUCCCAAGUGGACAUGCCAAUCCCCUCGAUGUCAUAUGUAAGAUGUGUUCGGUUUUGAUUACUUAGAGACGUUAUCAUGUGCAUGAUAUAGCUUGAUAUACAUUUCUUAUCCUUCAAGAACAGUAUUUGGGAAGAUCACAACUACUUGGAAUUGGAAGAGGCAUUCCCGAAAGGGAAUUUGGUGUCGUGUCCCCUGCCUUAAUAUAAUAAAUAUGGAACAAAGCUAGUGAUUGUUGAAUUUGCAAAAUGUGGAAACAGUUAAUAAUUCCACCUUGAUCUUUUGUGUGAUUAACUUCUUAUACAUUAUGCUUUCCGGUAAGAGACAUCCGAACUCCAAUAUUGUUAAUUUACCAAAUUUGUUAAGUCAAACUGGGAAGUUUAGAAGAUCUCUUAGUGUGCGUGGUUUAUUUGGCGGGAAGAAGGAUAACAAUGACAAGGGUGAUGAAGGUAACUAGGUAUGUUAGUUUUGUACUUAGUUCAGUGCACAUUGCCACAUCAGGUAGCUAUGCUGCAAAUUCAUCUCCUAUCGUAAUUAAAAAAGGACAAUCCUUUUGCUUUGUUUCAUGUCUAGAUAUUUGUGAAGCUUAUGUAUAUUUCAUUUUUCCUAGUUCGUUCUCAUAAUCUCUUUUUGGCAGCGCUUUUACAAUGAUUUAUGUAGCCAGGAUUUAUGGGAAAUAUGCAAAAUUUAUACGAAACAGUAAAGAAGGCGCAGAUGGUUGUCCAAGUUGAGGCAGUACGAGUGCAAAAAGAACUUGCUGCGUAUUUUUCUAAUACUUGAACUCACUGGGGGACUGCUUUCAAACUUGCAGAGCUGAAUUUGAUGGCUAUUGUCAAGAUGAGCUAAUAAAGUUUGGCUGAGUAUUUUUCUAGGCAACACUCUCUGGAAAUCAACAACCUGUCCACAUUGAGAUCACAGAUGCUGCUAUGGAGUUGGGAGCUGAGAAACUCUCUCUUCUAGUGACGGAGGCAUACAAGGAUGCACACCAGAAGAGCGUUGAGGCCAUGAAGGAAAGAAUGAGCAAUCUUGCUCAGAGCUUAGGAAUGCCAAGAGGAAUGCCACAGGGUUUAGGAGACAGUCUCAAGUAAAAUUUGGGGAUGAUGGAUUCAACAGAGCUUUCAGUUUUCUAAACACUGUAUAUUUUGUUUCUUCCGAUUUUAUAGUUUUACCUGUACCUCAGCUGUCCCCCCUCUGAGGUACCUACAAAUCAGCGCGGGGAAUAGUCACUGUGCCCGCCGGUGGAUACCCUUUGGUAAUUACCAAAAAAAAAUAUAAGGAUUUUUUUUCUUCCCUUUA